rnacentral:tRNA from 1 species
GCCACCGUAACUCAGUUGGUAGAGUGCCAAAUUCGUAAUUUGGAUGUCAGCAGUUCGAUUCUGCUCGGUGGCU